rnacentral:rRNA from 1 species
UACGUAGGCAGCAAGCGUUGUUCGGAGUUACUGGGCGUAAAGGGUGCGUAGGCGGCUUUUUAAGUUUGGUGUGAAAUCUCCCGGCUCAACUGGGAGGGUGCGCCGAAUACUGAGAGGCUAGAGUGUGGGAGAGGAAAGUGGAAUUCCUGGUGUAGCGGUGAAAUGCGUAGAUAUCAGGAGGGACACCGGUGGUGUAAACGGCUUUCUGGACCAUAACUGACGCUGAGGCACGAAAGCGUGGGUAGCAAACAGG